UAGGGAAUCUUCGGCAAUGGGGGGAACCCUGACCGAGCAACGCCGCGUGAGUGAAGAAGGUUUUCGGAUCGUAAAGCUCUGUUGUUAAGGAAGAACGAGUGUGAGAAUGGAAAGUUCAUACUGUGACGGUACUUAACCAGAAAGGGACGGCUAACUACGUGCCAGCAGCCGCGGUAAUACGUAGGUGUCAAGCGUUGUCCGGAUUUAUUGGGCGUAAAGCGAGCGCAGGCGGUCAAUUAAGUCUGAUGUGAAAGCCCCCGGCUCAACCGGGGAGGGUCAUUGGAAACUGGUUGACUUGAGUGCAGAAGAGGAGAGUGGAAUUCCAUGUGUAGCGGUGAAAUGCGUAGAUAUAUGGAGGAACACCAGUGGCGAAGGCGACUCUCUGGUCUGUAACUGACGCUGAGGCUCGAAAGCGUGGGUAGCGAACAGG
rnacentral:rRNA from 1 species